rnacentral:lncRNA from 1 species
GCACACGAACCUGGGCGGCCCAGCGAGUACAGGGAAGAGGGCGGGGCUAGACGCGGCCUUGAUAACUACAGUACUAGAGCGCCUCGGGCUGUACGGCUCGAGACUACAUUUCCCAGCGGGCCCGGCGGAGACCGGGCCGGAAAGAGAGCGCCUCCGGUCCAGUGCGCAGGUGCAGGAGCCUUACCUGGUUAUAUAAAGGCGGU